UUCACUGAGAUAUUGCCAAUUUUAUUUUCUUUCUAAUUCCCGCGGAAAACAUUAAAAUUCUUUAUUUCGUUACAGAAGAAAAUUAUAAUAAUAGAGGGAGGAAAUGGAGAUCAAGGAAUGGCAGGGUCGAGAGGCGUAGAGAGCGCGUCAAUCUCCACCAACAGAAAACGUUAUUGUCGGCCGUAACGGACGCGGUGGCCGGUGCAAUACUGAAGCAUACGAGUUACAGGGGCCAUUACCGUGGUCGGGGCAGGAGAAACAAUUAAUUUUUUUAAUUUUUAUUGAAUUAUAUUUUUUUAUAAACAUAAUAUAAACAUUUUAUAUAAG